ensembl:lncRNA
UGCUCCCUUCAUCCCGAUGGAGGCAGGAGCUCCUGGACACCUGGGGGAACACAGCUCUGCCAGAGCAGCAGCCUGGAGGGAGAAGUGGAGAAAGCUCUGAGGAGCCAGCUGCAGGAAGGGAGAUGAGGGUCACAGCUGCAGGUGGGACGGAGUGAGUGCUGUUCAUGGAAUUCCUGACAUCCCAAUGAGGUGCUAGGAGACAGGAACAUGGGAUACAGCCAAGGCACCAGGCUUCUGGCCGGACACGCUUUUCCCAGCCUGAAUCACUGACAGCACCCAGGCAAGUGUCACCAAUCCCUGGGGACACACAUUGUUCCAGCCAGCCACCCCUCAGAGACAAGGCCCGAGGGAAGAAACCUGAAGGAUGGCUUUGUCCUUGUGUGAGCAAAUUGCCUCCUGGUUGAUGCAGGGCAGGCAGGUGCUGGUACAGAGCUGAGCAUGGGAAAUCCUGAGCUGGAAGGGACCCCAAGGAUCACCCAGACCAGCCCUGUCCCUGCCCAGACCCCCCAAAAUCCCACCCUGGGCAUCCCUGGCAGCGCUGGCCAAAGGCUCCUGGAGCUCUGGCAGCCUCGGGGCCGUGCCCAUUCCCUGGGGAGCCUGGGCAGUGCCAGCACCUCUGGGGGAAGAACCUUUCCUGCUCUCCAGCCUGAGCUGCCCUGGCCCAGCUCCAGCCGUUCCCUCACGGUGCCCUGUCACUUGUCAGUGUCACAGAUCCGUGUCUGCCCUCCUGGGGAAGUCACAGGUCCACAGACAGCGAUAGGAAGGUGACAUCAGCUCUGGCUGUGCUGAGCUCUGCUGGGAACAGGAACCGAGCAGCACAGGGCAGGGCUGGCUGUCCCACACAGCAGCUGAGGACGUUGCAGAAGCCACAGGAUGACCCGAGGUGGCUCCUGAGUCUGUGUUGUGCUGCGAGGGGAGGAGGGAACAGGGCCCGGUUUGGGGUUUAGAAACCAGCAAGUCCCAAGUGCCUUUGAGGAACUGUUUCUGAAUGGCCCUGAGCCAGGACCUGGCUCUUCCUUUGGAGCACCCUGUGAACUUCCCACCUCCCCCGUGCUGCCUCCCACUCUCCAGGGAUGUGUCUGUACGUCUGAGGGAUGCCAGAGGGCUGCACUCAAACACAAAACCUGGCAGAGCCACGUCAAAACAGACCUUUCAGAGCCCUCGUGCUCUUGUCACAUGCAGGAGAAGUUGCUCCCAUGGAAAUGUCGCAUUCCAGCAUGGUUUGACAUCCACAGCUUCUUCCACAGCCACUGCCAUGCUGACAGGGACAUCUCUGAGCGCUGCAAAACAGAACCCUGUCCCUGCACAGCACUACUCCAGCCCACUGGGAACACAAACCUCUCCACCUCCUGCCAGGUGAGGGAUAGGUUCAGCAAAGAGGAGAAGUUUUAGGUCUCCCUUUUCCACCUGCUCCAGGUCAGUCUUGAUCUGCCCAGGGCCAGCUGAGGGGGUGGCUCAGGCAAUCAGCGAUGGUCCUGGCUGCAUUCCUGGAGGUUCCCUGCUGAGCCAUUCCCAGGGCCAUGGAAAUAUCUAACAGGAGCAAAAGGAAUCAGCUGGGCAGUUUCUAACACAGCAGAACCUGUUGCUGUUAAUAACUGCAGGCUAAAUCUUACCUGGCUUGGAGCAAGCACCUGCCUUCCUUCUGCUUUAAAAAAAAAAGGUGGAACCACCAAAAUGCUGGCUUUGGAGCUCAGAGCUUCAGCCAAGAGGUUUAAUGGUUAUUCUGGUGCCACAGCCAAGCUCAGAAAGCAGAGCAGCACUAGAAACCUGAGCUUACCCCGGUGUCUGGUUUGGGUGUGGACCUGCUGCUGUAAAUUUAGAUCGAACAGGAGGAAUGUGCCUGAACAGGACUGGGUUAUCAGUCUCUAAUGAGCAUUUCAGUGAGAGUUCAUUGCUCUGCACUGUGUGACAGCAGGGUGAGAGCUGAGGCAAUGAGGUGACAGGCGAAUUCCUUCCACUAAACAGGAACAAGGUUUCGUGGGCUGUGUUGUCACACACUGGAAGGAGAUAAGGCUCAGCUCCCACUGCAGAGAUUUCAUGGGAGUUGAUAAUUUAAAACCCUUCCAGUGUCUAGCAACAGUAAUUAUAUUUCAUACCUCAGAUGACUAAAAAAGAUUCUUCAGUAUCUUGUGGUAUCUGUGACAGGGAGAACGUGGAGCUGAGCAUCGCCUUGGGACAGGAUGUGCAGAUCACUGGCAAAGAAAAGAGUGGAUAAGGUUAGAUUGAUGUGCAGGUCCUGAAGUUUUUCCAACCUUUUCUCAUGUUUUUAAACAGUUCUGAGCUGGGGAGGAAAAAAAAAAAAAUUAAGCUCAAGGACACUUCAUUUAUGCAUCCAAAACAACAGAGUUGGGACCUUGAGUUUCUGACCCUGAUUCCACUUAUUCAGUUACCGCAAAUUACUUCAGCAGCCACCUCUUAAAUCAUCUCAGAAAAUGCAUGGAAAUAUUUAGCAACAACAACAAAAAAAUCCACCCCAUCUUUCCAUUCAGUUAGAUACACAUUUAGAAACACCUUUUGGGCUGAAACAAAAGCAAGCAACGAUGGCUUAAAGAGUCAUCCUCUGCUCUGCGGCCCCUGGAAAAGUCCCGCGGCUCCUGCCGGCCUCUCUCGGUUAAAGUUCACAGAGAACAGGUACAGGGGACAAAGCUCGAUCAGGAAACAAAAUCUUGGGUGGAAGGGAAAUUCAUCAAACGAGGCCUGAUGGUUGGGCUGAGGUCGGGAGCACUCCCAGCACCGGUGCGAUCUUCACGCCAACCACAUGAGAAAGGGCUGUGCACACCCCACAGCCUGUCCCAGCACUGACUGCUGACUCGGGCACCAUUACUGUCCCUCCUGCUGCUUUCUCUGCUCUCCUCCUCCCUGCCAGGCCCUGCCAGGUCCUGCCAGGCACCUCUGGGUCUGUGCCUUCAUCACCAGCUGCUCCGAGCCCAAACUCCCAAAACAAAUAUCCCAUCACAUCCCACCAGCCUGCACCAAACCAAUCGAGCCUGCCUUGAAUCCUGACUUCCUCCAAGCAUCUCUCAUUUGCAGGAUAAUCUGUGUUGGGGGAUUUUUGUAAAGAUGUUUUUUUUCCCUGACUGUCCUUAACAACUCUGAGCAUUUAUCCUUUGCCAAAACACCACCUGGUCAGAGAGGUACCCAUGGGCCCUGCAAUAACUGCCAAUAAAUUUGUCUUUUCUGCACCCCUGUGACAUGUGAGUCCCUCUGGCAGGGAGAAGGAAGGCCAGGGCUUGGGGGAUGGGGAAUGGGGUGGAAGAGCAGAAAUGAGCCUUUCAUCAGACAUCCCAACCCAUCCUUGGCACUGACUCCAAACCACUUCAUGGACCUUGCCCAGGACUCACCAGGACACCGUGGGGAAUUCCCCUGCCACCUGGGAAUUCCCCAGCAGGAGUGAGCUGCCAGCUGUUGAGCUCAUCUGGGGUUUUGAUGGAUGUUCCUCUCACCCCACUGUGAGCCCCAGAGCUUCUCCUGCUUGACAAAGGAGCCUCCUGUCACUGAGGUCCCUCUCCUUGGGAGCCCCAGUGCUGUCCUUGCUCUGGGAUACUCAGUGCUCUGCUGGCCC